rnacentral:rRNA from 1 species
UACGAAGGGGGCUAGCGUUGCUCGGAAUUACUGGGCGUAAAGGGUGCGUAGGCGGGUCUUUAAGUCAGAGGUGAGAUCCUGGAGCUCAACUCCAGAACUGCCUUUGAUACUGAGGAUCUUGAGUUCGGGAGAGGUGAGUGGAACUGCGAGUGUAGAGGUGAAAUUCGUAGAUAUUCGCAAGAACACCAGUGGCGAAGGCGGCUCACUGGCCCGAUACUGACGCUGAGGCACGAAAGCGUGGGGAGCAAACAGG